rnacentral:rRNA from 1 species
AGUGAACGCUGGCGGUAGGCCUACACAUGCAAGGCGAACGAGUGGCGGGCGGGUGAGGACUACAACGGAAUCUACUCUGUCGUGGGGGACAACGUAGGGAAACUUACGCUAAUACCGCAUACGAUCGAAUGAGACGAUGUCGGAUUGGCUAGCUGGCGGGGUAACGGCCCACCAAGGCGACGAUCCGUAGCUGGUCUGAGAGGAUGAUCAGCCACACUGGAACUGAGACACGGUCCAGAAUCCUACGGGAGGCAGCAGUGGGGAAUAUUGGACAAUGGGCGCAAGCCUGAUCCAGCCAUACCGCGUGGGUGAAGAAGGCCUUCGGGUUGUAAAGCCCUUUUGUUGGGAGGCGUUACCAACAGAAUAAGCACCGGCUAACUUCGUGCCAGCAGCCGCGGUAAUUC